GGGGGAUAUUGCACAAUGGGGGAAACCCUGAUGCAGCGACGCCGCGUGGAGGAAGAAGGUUUUCGGAUUGUAAACUCCUGUCGUUAGGGACGAUAAUGACGGUACCUAACAAGAAAGCACCGGCUAACUACGUGCCAGCAGCCGCGGUAAAACGUAGGGUGCAAGCGUUGUCCGGAAUUACUGGGUGUAAAGGGAGCGCAGGCGGACCGGCAAGUUGGAAGUGAAAACUAUGGGCUCAACCCAUAAAUUGCUUUCAAAACUGCUGGCCUUGAGUAGUGCAGAGGUAGGUGGAAUUCCCGGUGUAGCGGUGGAAUGCGUAGAUAUCGGGAGGAACACCAGUGGCGAAGGCGACCUACUGGGCACCAACUGACGCUGAGGCUCGAAAGCAUGGGUAGCAAACAGGAUUAGAUACCCUGGUAGUCCAUGCCGUAAACGAUGAUUACUAGGUGUUGGAGGAUUGACCCCUUCAGUGCCGCAGUUAACACAAUAAGUAAUCCACCUGGGGAGUACGACCGCAAGGUUGAAACUCAAAGGAAUUGACGGGGGCCCGCACAAGCAGUGGAGUAUGUGGUUUAAUUCGAAGCAACGCGAAGAACCUUACCAGGUCUUGACAUCCGAUGCAUAGCGCAGAGAUGCGUGAAGUCCUUCGGGACAUCGAGACAGGUGGUGCAUGGUUGUCGUCAGCUCGUGUCGUGAGAUGUUGGGUUAAGUCCCGCAACGAGCGCAACCCUUAUUGCCAGUUACUACGAAAGAGGACUCUGGCGAGACUGCCGUUGACAAAACGGAGGAAGGUGGGGAUGACGUCAAAUCAUCAUGCCCUUUAUGACCUGGGCUACACACGUACUACAAUGGCGUUUAACAAAGAGAAGCAAGACCGCGAGGUGGAGCAAAACUCAAAAACAACGUCUCAGUUCAGAUUGCAGGCUGCAACUCGCCUGCAUGAAGUCGGAAUUGCUAGUAAUCGCGGAUCAGCAUGCCGCGGUGAAUACGUUCCCG
rnacentral:rRNA from 1 species